rnacentral:lncRNA from 1 species
AUUGGGAUGAAUAAGUUUGAAUGUUCUGGCUUUUUUCUUAAACGUUCGGGCAUGAGUUUAAAAUUGUUAUUGUUAUUAUUAACAGAACUUAUUUACACAGUAGCCUCCUUUAAAAAAGAUACAGAGAAUGUCUCAUAACUCCCCUUUCCAAAUAAAAUUGAUUUGUUUCAUAAAGCAAUAGCUGCCAGAAACUCCAAUUUUGCUCUGCUUUGAUGUAAUCCAUUUGCAAACUGGAAGUUGGAAAAAUGAAGGCCCACAGAUAUCUAAAUUAGCCCUGAAUAUCAACCACAUCUCUUUUUGAGAAUAAUCAGGUACUCUGACUCUGGUCUCCUCAUUAUUUCACCAGGCCAGGAAAGGCGAGCUGACAAAUAAGCCCGAUUCUUCCUUGGCACCACAAAAUUCAAAGAAGAACGGAAAGUCCAUUGAAGUCCGCCUCUGUUCUUUUGCAGUUGAGCCGCAAGGUGCAAACAGGACCUGCCACUUGCUGCUUCGCAUGUGUCCAAACUCCUUAGGCUCCUGGGUAGCUUUGCUGAUGCCUGCUUUCCUCCCUGUGCCUCCCAGUGUCUAAGCCAAGUCCUCCUUUGCUGGUGGCUCUGCGUUCUGUUUCUUUUUUGGUUGCUCGCUCUUGGUUGCUAACAACGUCUUAUGGAACGUAGCUCAUCUGGCUCUUAGGUACCGCACGGAGACCUAGGGCGAGUCAGCGGGCUCUCAGAGACCAUCCUCAGAGCUAGACUUGCUUUCCAAACUCUGCUUCAGAGACCCUAUAGAUACCCUCUGGAGGGGUGUCAAGGGCUUCCUAGGGAGGAAGCUGGUGCGAGAUGGAUCCCAAAGAAAGACAAUGAAUGGACUAGGCUGGGAGUAACCUGUCAUUGCUUUGACCAGAGAAGUUCUGUUUCUGUCAGCAUCCCGUAUUAGACAUCAGCAUGAGAUUUCAUUUAAAGACAUGAUCGCAUGGCCAAAAGCAUUUGCAGGGCAAGCCUUUGCUAAACCCUGUUCCAUAUCCAUACAAGGGUAGGGAUAUAGUUGUAAAGUGUGUCAUUUUGUGACUUAUGUUAUUUUUCACCUGCUCUGGGUGCACAGCUGCACUCUCUAUCUCUGCAAGUGGAACAUGAACUUGUAAGGACACCAGGGUCUGUAAUUUGCUGUCUUUAUGAUGAGACAACCCUUCAGUUCCCAGGGGACACAGCUUUGCCUAUUUUUUUUUUUCCUUUUUAGGGCUGCAUUGGCAACAUAUGGAAGUUCCCAGGCCAGGGGUCCAAUCGGAGCUGCAGCUUAGACCUAUGCCACAGCCAUGGCGACACUGGAUUCGAGCUGCAUCUGCGACCUACACCGCAUCUUGUGGCAACGCCAGAUCCUUAAUCCACUGAGCGAGGCCAGGGGCUGAACCCACAUCUUCACAGAAAAAUGCUCUGGGUCCUUAACCUGCUUAGCUGCAAUGAGAACUCCCAGCUUUGCUUUCUUCGUAGGUUGGUUUCUCCUAAGCUCUUUUGAGUCAUCGUUUUCGGAGAGUCUAAUCAACAUUGUAGACCCACCGCCUUGAAAAACGCUUGGAAAUAGCACAAUUUGCACUCUCUUUCAAGGGACUAUGGUGCCACUGAAACCCAGCCAUGUGCUCUGAGACCAAGAAUCCCUGCAGGAAAGCCUUCUCUGGAUGGACCACACAAACGGUUGGGGUCAGUGUCCACUUUGAAAGCCUAUGUUUUUCCCCACCUGAUCAUUACAACUGCCCAGUAUUGGAACCGGCCAUGUCAUGAGAAUGGCUGCUUGAUUAUUUCAGGUGCAGAGAUGCUGGCCCACCAGAGGGGCGGGUGGCAUAGCAGAAGAAAGCACCGGGCCUGGCAUCAGAGAGAAUGGGCUUGAGACCAUAUUGCUGCCAAUUCCUACCUGUUUCCUUGGGCAAAUCACUUAACGUAUAUGAGUUUCAAUUUCCUUACCUAUAAAAUGGGUGGGACAGUUCUCCUGUCUGUUUUAAAAAUGACCUCGUAGCGUUGUCGAGGAGUUAAUGAGAAAACGCAUGCCAGUCAUUUUUCAUGGUAUAGAGCAGUUGGUCAGAAGGUCAGUUCCCUAAAAGCUUAUUGUGCAGAGGGCACCUGCCUUAUGUGGGAAAAUGGAUUCGGUGUUCUGUCAGGUCCCUUGUGACUCUGGUGUAGCCUUUUCUGCUCUGUUUCGUUGAAUAAUCUGGCAACUGUUACCUUCUUGCUUUGGAUUUGCCCUCAGACAGGUUUCAUGACUAGAAUCUUGAGCAAUGAUUGCUUUUCCCCUCAAGGCUCAGCUUUCAAAAAUGUCUUUCAACUAUCUCCAGCUCCGCUGAGGAGAUUUUUACAUCUUUAUUGCAAAGUGGCUCUUCGUGUCCCUUAGGGAGAUGAAGAGACGCUGACCAAAACUUGUGACAUGUUGUCCUCUGUUGCCAAAUAGUCAAGGGAAACACACAUUUAUGAGUAGACAGUGUAAGCUUAAGAGUUUGCCAUCUGAUUUGGCUUUAGACUUUUAAAUAAAUCAGCCAAGAACAGUUCCAGAAACUUGAUUUUCAAAAUAGAUACUUUUUGACAAGCCCGGUCCAGCUCGUUUCCAAAGAUAGCCUCGGAAUGAACAAUGCUUCUUUAUAUGGAAGCCCUCCCUUUGAACCUGGGCUGGCCUUUGACCAUUAGAAUGUGGCAGAAGUGACACUGCAUGACUCUUUAGAGUACAGCCUUGGAGAAGUUCCCGUGGUGGCUCAGCGGGUUAAGAACCCGAUAGUGUCUGCAGAUGUGGGGUUGAUCCCUGGCCUCGCUCAGUGGGUUAAGGAUGCAGCGUUGCCGUGAGCUGUGGUGUAGGUCACAGAGUCGGCUCAGAUCCGGCGUCGCUGUGGCUGUGGCUGUGGUUGUGGCCGGCAGCUGCAGGUCCGAUUGGACCCCUAGCCUGGGAACCUCCAUGUCGACCUGAGUCUCUUGGAAAGGCUCAUUCUGGGAGAAGUAAGGUACCAGGUAAGAAAGUCAGCAUCUGUAGUUCCUCGCGCUGAAGGAAGCGCAAAUAUUCGGAAUUCACAUGGGAGAGAGAGAAAGGGAGAGAGUGAGCUGCCCCCAGCUGUUCCAGCCAUCCCACCUGAGGUGCCAGGCUUGUGAGGGAAGAAGGCGUCUCGGAUGCCCCGUCCAGGUGAAACUUUCUGGAGGCUGUCAGCCUCCAUCUGACUGUAGCUGCAGGAGACACCCCCAAGUACAAUCUUGUAGCUUAGCCCAGUUAACCCACAGAGCUGUGAGAUAAUAAAUUAUUUGGAGCCUCUAGUUUUUUUUUUUUUUUAAUAGCAGUAGAUAAUUGAAAAGGAUGCCUCCGUCACAUGUGGGGGUAGGCAGGAUUGCACAGAUCCAAACACUGGUGAAUUGCCUGCAGCUGCUGGUAUCUGGAAGGAUUGUUUUCGGACCUGUGGCCUCCUAGUGACAGGGUCCAUGUUGGUUGCCACUGACUCAGGUUGAUGAGCUUUAACCCUCUUCUAGAAAAUCUCUUGAUACUGGCUUAAGACCACCGAGGAAAGAAUACACUUCGUGUCUCUCCCACUGGACUUCUUGGUAUCCACGUUCCUACCUUCUUUCUUAUUCUUAAGAUAUGUUCUAUAGAGGAUUUCGUGCUGUUUGCUGGGCUGACCUCAUGCACCUGUCCAAACCAUGGUUGGCAAACUAGGGGCUGCAGGCAGGCCGUUACCUCUCUCUUUUUUGUAAGUAAAAUUUGAUUGGAACUUGCCCAUUUGUUUCCAUAUAUUCUAUCACUGUUUUUUCUCCGUGAUGGCAGAGUUGUGUAGUUGUGACAGAUGGUAUGGUGUGCAUAGCCAAAAAUAUUUACUGUCUGACCUUUCCGGAGAAAGUUUGCCAAACCCUCGUCUAAACCAUCGAGCUAAGUGGUUGAUAGUAUUUUAGAUUGUGUGCAGUGUUGUAUGUAAACUGUUUGAGAGCUUGACUUUAUGGUGAUGGUCCUCUAGUUUCAUCUUCGUUGAGGACAAUUAAGCAGGUGAAUUCAGCAUCAGCUAAUGCAUAUUAAGUCCCUUACUAUGCACUGGGUACCUGGUGCUUUGGUAUGUGUUUUCGUGUAUAUGGUUCAUUCCUGCGUGGAAUAAUCUUGUGAGCUGAAUAGUUUAUCUUCGCUUUACAGAUGAAGGAAUUUAAGACUUGGAAAGAAAAAAAAUGAUUCGAUUCAGGCUACCAUUACUGAGCUAGGAUGUGAACCCAGUGCAAAGGUGCCAAUACUGGAUUCUUUGUCCUACACUAGUGCUUUUCAGACUUUUAUGUUAUGCGUGUAUGCAUGUAGGUGUGUAGGAAUGCAUGCAUUUCUGUGUUUGGCAGCACGACCUUCUUUUACUCAAAGAAUGCCAUUCGUUGGCCCAGUGGGUAUAAAGCAGAUGAAAGCAGAUCAAACGUCUCCAUGAUCACACCCCUCCUCCUUGCAGAACACACACAUACACACACACACACACACACACACACACACAAUUCAGCCUUAACCUCAACAUUGCAACAUUGCAUGGAUUUUGUCAGGACCUGUAACACGAGAUGGAAGGACAUGAGAUUUGGGCUGUCAUCAUUUGGUCUUUGUCUUUCUCGUAGCACAGAUGUCUGAUUGCUCUUUUGCCUCAAUGCCAGUGAUUCCCAAGGCACUCUGUACAAUUGCAAAAAAAAAAAAAAAAAAAAAAAAGAGAGAGAGAGAGAGAGAGAGGAAAAGUCAAGGAUUACUGUAUUUUUGGUGUGACUGUUUUAACCACUUCCAAGCUUCAAAUCUCCCUAUCCAAGUCAAAAGUAAGUUGAAUAUGAUUGGUUUUUUUAAAUCCUAUUUUAACGUGGUACAUCUAAGUGCUGGAGCUUUAUAUAUACAUAUUAAAAUUAUGUUUAUAAAGAUCCAUAGUGGUAUGGAAAUAAGAGUAUAAUGCAGAUAAAAAUAGCUGUGUAUACAUUAUGAUCUCAGCUUUGCACAAUGUAGUUUAGGGGGCGAUAUGCAUAUUAACUCACCUCUAGUCAAAUAAAAGUGGAGGGAACCAUGAUCCCUGGGUGCAGGGGUUCUUUGUAAUGGUUAGUGUCUGCCUUUUGUCCGUUCUUUUGAAAGCCUAUAGAAACAAGCCAAUUUGAAAAAAAAAAAAAAA